rnacentral:rRNA from 1 species
GUAGUCAUAUGCUUGUCUCACAAGAUUAAGCCAUGCAUGUCUAAGUAUAAGCAAUUAUACCGUGAAACUGCGAAUGGCUCAUUAAAUCAGUUAUCGUUUAUUUGAUAGUACCUUACUACUUGGAUAACCGUGGUAAUUCUAGAGCUAAUACAUGCUAAAAACCCCAACUUCGGGAGGGGUGUACUUAUUAGAUAAAAAGCCAAUGCCCUUCGGGGCUCCUUGGUGAUUCAUGAUAACUUCUCAGAUCGCAUGGCUUUACGCCGGCGACGGUUCAUUCAAAUUUCUGCCCUAUCAACUUUCGAUGGUAAGGUAUUGGCUUACCAUGGUUUCAACGGGUAACGGGGAAUUAGGGUUCGAUUCCGGAGAGGGAGCCUGAGAAACGGCUACCACAUCCAAGGAAGGCAGCAGGCGCGCAAAUUACCCAAUUCCGAUACGGAGAGGUAGUGACAAUAAAUACUGAUACAGGGCUCUUUUGGGUCUUGUAAUUGGAAUGAGUACAAUUUAAACCUCUUAACGAGGAACAAUUGGAGGGCAAGUCUGGUGCCAGCAGCC